UUGAAUAUUUGGGAUUUCAGUGUGUUUUAUGAAGGUAAUAACGCAUUUGGAUUUUCAUGAAAUGAAAAUAGUUUUCUACCUCUCGUGGUAGCGUAUUUUAAAAGAAAAGAUUUCCGUGUGGAAACAGUUUUCAAAAGAGUUUUCUCAUGAUUUUCUUGACUUAGUAUUUCAAAACAAGUUUCCGGAUAGAAAAUAUUUUAACUGAUAGUUGUGGUUUUAUGAUUAAGACUCUGAAUAUGAAAAUGUUGGUGAAUAGUGUAUGAAUGUAUGAUUGUUUAUGUAGUGUACCGAAUUUUUAAUAGAGAAAUAAGAGUAAAUAAAAAUAUAUAAAAUUGUGCAAAUGAGAGGGGCUAAGGUGUAAUUGUGCAAAUGAGAGGGGCUAAGGUGUAAUGGUGCAAGUAAAAGAGUUUACUUGGAGGGCAAGUCUCCCUAUGUUAUGAGAGGGACUAAAGUGUAAUUGUGCAAAUCAAGGG
rnacentral:lncRNA from 1 species